UACGGAGGAUCCAAGCGUUAUCCGGAUUUAUUGGGUUUAAAGGGUGCGUAGGUGGUUCAUUAAGUCAGGGGGUGAAAGACGGCAGCUUAACUGUCGCAGUGCCUUUGAUACUGAUGAACUUGAAUGAACUAGAGGUAGGCGGAAUGUGACAAGUAGCGGUGAAAUGCAUAGAUAUGUCACAGAACACCAAUUGCGAAGGCAGCUUACUAUGGUUUGAUGACACUGAGGCACGAAAGCGUGGGGGAUCAAACAGG
rnacentral:rRNA from 1 species